UCGGCUGGGCUGGAAUCGCUGGGUUCCGCCCCUCGUCGGCGGCUUCCCGCCCCCCACGGAGGCGCGAUCUGAAACGGGCCUUCCACCAGCCAAUCACGUCUGCCAGCGAGUCACCACCAAGAUUUGGGAGAGUACAAAGGAGGGCAUAGGGAGAGAAGCAGACUCCCUGCCGAGUGAGGAGCCCAACAGGAGGUUCAAUUCUAUGACCCUGAGAUCCUGACCUGAGCUGAAACCAAGAGUCAGAGACUUAACAGACUGAGCUACCCAGGUGCCCCAUAUAUGUACAUUUCUAUUAGAAUCUCCAAACAAAACAAACUGACACACACAGAGAGAUGCUAAGAAGAGAUGGUGAGAAAACUUUAGAAGGCUCCAGGUGCUGAUCUGGCAGCCCAAAUGCAGCUCUGCGCCCCCAGAGAUAUGGAAAACAAAGAAAAUUCCACAAUUUAUGAAAUAAGAGGACAUUUCUUGGGACACCUGGGUGGCUCAGAGGUUGAGCAUCUGCCUUUAGCUCAGAGCAUGAUCCCAGUGUUCAGGAUCGAGUCCUGCAUUGGCCUCCCUACAAGGAGCCUGCUUCUGCCUCUGCCUCUCUCUGUGUCUCUCAUGAAUAAAUGAAUAAAAUCUUAAAAAAAAAAAGACAUUUCUC